CCUACGGGUGACAGCAGUAGGGGAUAUUGCUCAAUGGGGGAAACCCUGAUGCAGCAACGCCGCGUGGAGGAUGACGGUUUUCGGAUUGCAAACUCCUUUUGUUAGAGAAGAUAAUGACGGUAUCUAACGAAUAAGCACCGGCUAACUCCGUGCCAGCAGCCGCGGUAAUACGGAGGGUGCAAACGGUACUCGGAAUCACUGGGCGGAAAGGGCGCGUAGGCGGGAUAGCAAGUCAGAGGUGAAAUCCUAUGGCUUAACCAUAGAGCUGCAUUUGAAACUGUUAUUCUAGAGUAUGGGAGAGGCAGGUGGAAUUCUUGGUGUAGGGGUAAAAUCCGUAGAGAUUAAGAGGAAUACUCAUUGCGAAGGCGACCUGCUAGAACAUAACUGACGCUGAUGCGCGAAAGCGUGGGGAGCAAACAGGAUUAGAUACCCGAGUAGUC
rnacentral:rRNA from 1 species